UACGUAGGGAGCAAGCGUUGUCCGGAAUCAUUGGGCGUAAAGCGCGCGUAGGUGGCCUCGUAAGUCCGCUGUGAAAGUCAAAGGCUCAACCUUUGAAAGCCGGUGGAUACUGUGGGGCUAGAGUACGGAAGAGGCGAGUGGAAUUCCUGGUGUAGCGGUGGAAUGCGCAGAUAUCAGGAGGAACACCAAUGGCGAAGGCAGCACUCUGGGACGUGACUGACGCUGAGACGCGAAAGCGUGGGGAGCAAACAGG
rnacentral:rRNA from 1 species